rnacentral:rRNA from 1 species
UACGGAGGAUCCAAGCGUUAUCCGGAUUUAUUGGGUUUAAAGGGUGCGUAGGCGCUUAUUAAGUCAGGGGUGAAAGACGGUGGCUCAACCAUCGCAGUGCCUUUGAUACUGAUGAGCUUGAAUGAACUAGAGGUAGGCGGAAUGUGACAAGUAGCGGUGAAAUGCAUAGAUAUGUCACAGAACACCGAUUGCGAAGGCAGCUUUACUAUGGUUUAUUUGACGCUGAGGCACGAAAGCGUGGGAUCAAACAGG